UCCUCAGCUAAGACAAAGACUGUGAAACACUGGUGUUCCAUCCAAUACAAAUUUAAAUAGUAAAACUAUCAAACGUAAGUUACAGAUGUCUAGCAUACAAAAUUUAACUCCAUGUCGUGACCAAUCAUUAGGAAAUGUUGGAUUAAAAGCCCAAAAUAUUAAAUUGGCAGAAAAUGCAAUAAUCAUGCAGAGCAUUACUGCGCAAAGAAAAAUAAUCCUUGCAGAGAUCAGGUAUUAAGGCAGCAGUUGUUUUUUAAACAAACACCACACUAUUUUUGAAGUCAUGGGUUGUUGGGUUGUUUUUUUUUCAGAAAGCUGACCAGAGAAUAUUAACUGAACCAAUACAUCAAAAUAGGCUGAAGACAACUGUCACAAGUCUUUCUUGUGCCCUUGUAAUGUAAGAGGAGCCUUGGGGCAGAUGAAAAGAUGAAAGCAGACCCUGCAAAAGGUCCACACCCUGGUGAACCUUGAUGGCUACUGUAGCUAUGAGGGAAGCACUGAAAAAAUGGGAGAAGCUCCAAGCAUACAGGCAUUUGAAAUAAGGACUUGACAGACCCCAGGGGGCUCUACAAGAGGUGAUGGGGUACAGGGAAGUACCUGUAAUUGACUCCUGCUUUCUAGGCCUCACGCAGAAACACAGUCACUGUGAGUCUGUGACUCUGCAUCUUUGUUGCUGAAUAUCUAUCCUGAAAAAUAUUUUAAAACUGUAUUUCUUUCCCUAGACCUCAAGUUCUUCCCUUUUGUUUUUCUAGUUCUUUAUGAAGAACAGUAAUUUCCAUGCUUUUCAGGUUGCAGAGCACUACCAAGUCCCAACAUUUUCUCUAAGUGGCAUGUAUGUCUACGAAUAUUUGUACCUUAGAAUAAAGGCUCCACAUACUGCCUGUGGAUGAUUCACCAUGGUCUUGUUGACCACUGAUAGUAGGCAGAUAAUUUGAAAACCACAGACUUAAUAUUUAUUUGUAAGUAUGGCAAUUAAAAUGCCAUGUCCCCUCUCUCUUUCCCACACAUACCUCCCACAGCAUUCUGCAGCACAUGUCACACAGCUGGAUGCAGGUGCACAAAACAACAAGAGGAAAGUUCUCUGUUUAUCUCAAAUGUGAAACAUCCACAGUUUUGCAUGUUGAAAGGCCAACAGGAAAUACAGGUAUCAUCUGACUGACUAUUCAGUGCAGACCAUCUGAUUUCAGUUACUCUGACAGACAGCUUGAUAACAUCAUUAUCUGGGAUCCCUCAAAAAAUCACCAUACUCCUCACUGACAGCAUACAGCCACUAGCCUCAUUUACGUGCCCACACUUCUGCCAGAAACCACUUGAGAGUUGACUCAGACGGACAUAAAUCAACACGUGCAAAUUGACUCAGACAUGUCAGGUUCAAUGGUUGCUCCCAAGGUUCCUUUCUGCCACCCAGCACCUGCACGCUGACUGCUCAGCAGCUGCCGUGGCCCUUGAGCCUGUCCAGUCUAACCUGCAACAGAAGCAGCAGACUUGUACCCAUCACCGCCAUUUCUCUCUGUUCAAUACUGCUGGUCUAAAGGGGAUGCAACGCUGUGCACUUACCAAUACAAACAGUUUGUCAAUUUUAUAUAUGCACAGGUGUAUGUAUAUGUGUAUACACAUACACAUUCAAACUUCUAAUCCUACAUCUGCUCUUCAUCCUUGUAUUGGAAGGAAGUCUGAAGCAGAGUUUCGGAGACCUCAGCAUUUUGACCUUUAAGCAGGACGGGGUUCAUAAAGCACCAUGUAUUGGUGGUAUUCCCCUAUGUUAGUUUUUCCUCUGCAACACAGCCUUUGCACCACCACUACUGAGUGAAGCAUGUGAGGUCUACCGUAGUUAUGGAGUUCAACCAUACACAUAUAAGACCUCUUUCACACCAAGGCAAGGCAUACACAUUAAUAGUACAACUUAGAACAAAGUGAUCACCCUGACACUAAUGUUGUUCAUAGAGAUGAACCCUUUGA